rnacentral:rRNA from 1 species
UAGGGAAUCUUCGGCAAUGGGGGCAACCCUGACCGAGCAACGCCGCGUGAGUGAAGAAGGUUUUCGGAUCGUAAAGCUCUGUUGUAAGAGAAGAACGUGUGUGAGAGUGGAAAGUUCACACAGUGACGGUAACUUACCAGAAAGGGACGGCUAACUACGUGCCAGCAGCCGCGGUAAUACGUAGGUCCCGAGCGUUGUCCGGAUUUAUUGGGCGUAAAGCGAGCGCAGGCGGUUUAAUAAGUUUGAAGUUAAAGGCAGUGGCUUAACCAUUGUUCGCUUUGGAAACUGUUAAACUUGAGUGCAGAAGGGGAGAGUGGAAUUCCAUGUGUAGCGGUGAAAUGCGUAGAUAUAUGGAGGAACACCGGUGGCGAAAGCGGCUCUCUGGUCUGUAACUGACGCUGAGGCUCGAAAGCGUGGGGAGCAAACAGG